rnacentral:tRNA from 1 species
GGUGGCUCAGUAGUAGAGUGCUUGCUUUGCAUGCAAGAGGCCCUGGGUUCGAUUCCUCAGUACCA